CCUACGGGAGGCUGCAGUGAGGAAUAUUGGUCAAUGGGCGGGAGCCUGAACCAGCCAAGUCGCGUGAGGGAAGACGGUCCUAUGGAUUGUAAACCUCUUUAGGCGGGGAGCAAAGCCGGGCACGCGUGCCCGGAGGGAGAGUACCCGCAGAAAAAGCAGCGGCUAACUCCGUGCCAGCAGCCGCGGUAAUACGGAGGAUGCGAGCGUUAUCCGGAUUUAUGGGGUUUAAAGGGUGCGUAGGCGGAUUUUUAAGUCAGCGGUAAAAUGUCCGGGCUCAACCCGGGCCGGCCGUUGAAACUGGGGAUCUUGAGUGGGCGAGAAGUAUGCGGAAUGCGUGGUGUAGCGGUGAACUGCAUAGAUAUCACGCAGAACUCCGAUUGCGAAGGCAGCAUACCGGCGCCCGACUGACGCUGAGGCACGAAAGCGUGGGGAUCGAACAGGAUUUGAUACCCUGGUAGUC
rnacentral:rRNA from 1 species